AUGGUGGCGUGGACGACAGCGACAUCAGGCGGGGGCAGGGGGGUCACCGGGGGACGCGGCGGCGGCGGCAGCGGCAGCCCACACGAUGUCCUUGAGCGCCGGCCGGAGCUCGUCGCUGCAGAACGACCGGUACUCCAUCGUGUCGCCGCCGUCCUUCUUGACGUCGACCACCAGCACGGACGGCGCCACGCUGAAGAACUCCGCGGCCACCCCGAGCCGCCCCUUGCGCCCGCGCUCGGCGCCCUCCAGCCGCACCCCGCGCGCCCCGCUCUUGGUCACGCGCAUGGCCCCGCCGGUCGCCAGGCCCUCCAGCCGCGAGAUCACGCCGCUCGCCGGCUCCCGCGUCGCGAACCGCAUGACGCCGCCCCUCGCCCCGCGCCCCGUCGACGGUUCCUGGUCGAACAGCGGCGACAGGUCGAAGCCCGCGGAGAGGGAGAUCAGGUGGAAGGCGUUCAGCGCCUCCGGAGGCUCGUCCUUGUCCUCGCCGUUGCCGCGCGCGGCCGCUGGUGGCACGGGCUCCAAGAGAGGGCUCGGAAUGGGCGACGUCUUCUUGAACCACGGCGACUCGACGAGGCUGGCGAUCGUGAUGCGGCUGCUCGGGUUGGGGUCGAGCAGCCUGCCGAUCAACUUCCGGGCGUCCUUGGAGACCCACGACGGGCAGAGGAAGCCGCCGCGCUGCAUCUUGCGGUACAUGGACAUGAGGUUCUCGUCCUGGAACGGCAGGGCGCCGACGAGGAGCACGUAGAGGAUGACACCGCAGGACCAGAUGUCGGCCUUGGCGCCGUCGUAGCCAUUCCCGCCGAGCACCUCGGGGGCCACGUACGCCGGCGUGCCGCACGCGGUGUGGAGCAGCCCGUCGGGGCGUGCGUGGCCAGCGAGCGCGCUGAGCCCGAAAUCGGCGACCUUGAGGUUGCCGGCCUCGUCGAGGAGCAGGUUCUCGGGCUUGAGGUCGCGGUGGUACACGCCGCGGCCGUGGCAGAAGUCGACCGCGGAGAUGAGCUGGCGGAAGUACCGGCGCGCGACGUCCUCGCGGAGGCGGCCGGCGCGGGAGAUCCGGGCGAAGAGCUCGCCGCCGCGGACGAGCUCGAGGGCCAGAUAGAUCUUGGUGCGCGUGGCCAGCACCUCGUGCAGCUCCACGAUGUUGGGGUGGGACACCAUCUUCAUCACCGCGAUCUCCCGCUUGAUCUGCUCCACCAUCCCGGCGCGCUCCACCUUGUCCUUGGCCACCACCUUGACCGCCACCCCGCGGCCCGUGCGCAGGUCCCGCGCCGCGUGCACCCGACCGAAGUUGCCGUGCCCCAGCACGCGCCCCAGCUCGUACCUCCCCUGCAGCACGUUCGUCUUGCCCUCCGCCGCGUCCUCCAUUGCCGCCCCCCUCCUCCUCCCCGCGGGCCCGGACCCCGAGCCCCGCACUGA
rnacentral:rRNA from 1 species